UUUUGUAAACAUCUCCAUAAAUGAACUCAAGUACAGAAAAUUAACAUCUCAUAUCAUCAACAAACAGAAUAGGCCAUUCCUUAAAGUUAAUUGCAUGAUUUAACAAGUUUCAUUACAAAUAUACUUCACAUACUUGAAUACAUUAAAAAGCUAAAUAAACGGGUAUUGAUAUAAUGCAUGCAUUUGAAGAAAAAGGUACUUAGAAGAGAAAUUUGGUUCAAUUCUUAGCAAAUAAGCCUCCAAAACCGCCACCUUUCUUCUUUUGUGGCACUGCCACAGAGUUCUUCCGGCCACUGAUGGUGCCUCCUCCUCCUUUCUUUUCCUCCACCCCCUGAAGGAUAGGGUCAGUUUCUAGAAGCUGAUCUUCUUUCACUAACCCUCCAAUAAUCCAAUCCACUAAUCCUUUCUCCUCUUUGCCACUACCUGCUGAACCCUUUGUUCCUGCUGAACCCUUUGUUGCUGCAAAAACUCUUCCAGUAGUUACUGGUGUAAAUGGCAUCAUGAGUAUGGAAGCCAUGAAAAUGUAGAAGAGAAUAGAGUGGAAAGAGAGACACAGUGGCUACAAAGUGUGGAGGGUAAGUGGCAAUGGCAUUGAUAAUUUAUUUGUUGUGAGUUGUGGCUGCUACUAUCAAGUGAAUGUGAGCCUCUGAAUUGGGUUUGCAUUUGGUGAAAUGAGAGCUCAAUGCCACUUGCUUUCCACAACUGUCUUAUCUUCAUUGUUAGUAUUUUUGGCACCAAACAUUUAUAAGAAACAAAUGUAUCCUUGUAUUAGUUUCAUAUACAUACAUAUAAAUAAAUGACGAAUGAUAUAUUAAUCAUGUAUGAAUCUUUAUACUAACAAUGUAUAGAUAUGACUUAUUAUGUAAACGCUCUAAUUUAUUUUUUUGUAGGAAGAGCUUUACCGUCCAUUACAAUCUCAUACCUAGAAUAAAAUUUUCUAGAUAGUAGACUAUAUUGUGGUUUAGACAAAAUAUAAUUCGAAUUUAACAUUUAGAUUGAAUUCGUAUUGUAGUUGACCCAUCCUCUUUUUCACAUAUGCUUGUUGAUGGGUUUCAGAACUAGAAAGACUCAAAAGAAAUAAUAAUCAGUAGCUUAAUAGAAAAAAUAGAGAUAAUGUGUGCAGUAAAAUGAAAGAUAAUAUUGAUAGCCUAACUAUCAAUCCCUUUUCAUAGAAGAAUCUCUUUUCUCUUUCUAUAACAAAAUGCCCCCUCACUCCUCCUCCCUUUCCCUAAAUAGCAACUGACUACAAUUCCCCCUCUCUCCCUUUUCUUGCCAACUCAGCUUUCUUUCCACGUUUCCUCACAUAGACCUUCACACUUUGGGCUCCUCAUUGUUAACUUCAAGGCCCACUUCCCCUGCUGUGUCUCUAUCAAUUACCCCCUCCUGAACUAGAGCCUUGUCCUCAAGGCUAAAUUCUGGAAACUGCCCUUUGAUAAAUGCGGUAUCCUCCCACGUAACAUCAUCAACGGAUUUGUUCUACCAUUGAAUGAGACUUUGAGGGAUAGACACACCUUCCUGCAUAAUCCAGCGUGAACCAAGGACCCUCUAUGGAUAGAUAUCAUCCACUGGAUUUAUCUCCAGUUCCUUGGCAGGUCCCCAUGUAUCUGAUAAUUGCCAAUGGCCUUUUUGAGUAAAGACAAGACACAUGAAAAACUGGAUGAAUUCUAGAGUGAUCAGGAAGAUGCAAUUUGUAAGCCACUUCACCCAUCUUAGCAAUGAUUCGAAAAGGACCAUAAAAUCUCGGGGCUAACUUUUGAUUGAUGCGUUUAAUCACAGAUUGUUGCCUAUGGGGACGAAGUUUGAGAAAAACCCAAUCACUUAUGGCAAACUUCACCUCACGUCUCUUCUUAUUAGCAUAAGCCGCCAUCUGUUGUUGAGCCUUGAGUAGGUGGGUCUUUAGUUGAUUCAAGGCUUCGUCCCUUUCAACUAGUUCCAAAGCCACAGCAGUGACCUUAGAUUCAUUACUUAAGAAACGGACAAUACUGGGUGGUGAUCUGCCAUACACCACUUCAAAGGGAGUAGUGCCGAGAGAAACAUGAAAAGUGGUGUUGUACCAAAAUUCUGCCCAUGGGAUCCACAGAGACCAUGUUUUCGGUUGAUCAGAGGCAAAACAACGUAAGUAACUCUCGAGACACCUGUUGACAACUUCUGUUUGACCAUCCGUUUCGGGAUGAUACGUUGAACUCAUGUGCAACUGAGUACCCCACAGUUUGAAAAUCUCCAUCCAAAAAUGGCUAACAAAUAAAGGAUCCCUGUCACUAAUGACGGACGUUGGAAUCCCAUGUAAGCACAUUGUUUCCUUUACGAACAAUUCUGCCACGGAUUUCGCCGUAUAAGGGUGUUUCAAUAACACAAAGUGACUAUAUUUAGAUAGUCUAUCCACAACCACUAGAAUUGCAUCAAAUCCUUUGGAUUUUGGAAGGCCCAUGAUGAAAUCUAGAGAAAUAUCCUCCCAAACAACAUUCGGAAUAGGGAGGGGUUGUAGUAAACCACCCGGAGUUGUAGUAGAGUAUUUCUGUCGUUGGCAAGUGUCACAAGCUCGCACAAAAUCACGGACCAUUUUUUGCAUACCUGGCCAAUAAAGGUUUGUUGCUAGUCUUCUAUAGGUGUGGAGGAAUCCCGAAUGGCCUCCCAAUGGUGAUGAGUGAAAUUCUUUUAACAACAGUGGAAUUGAAGGAGAGGUAGGAGAUAAGACUAGACGGCCUUGGUAGAGCAACAUACCUUGAUGCACCGAGAAACCGCGUUUGGUAGAGGGGUCAACUUUUAGGGCCUCUAUUAUUUGUUGAAGAGAAAUGUCCUGCUUGACUUCUUGCAACAAAGUUUCUGCAUCUACCCACGUAGGAUAAGAAGUCAUUGAGGUGAAUUCCACCACAUCAUAACACCUGGACAGGGCAUCUGCUGCCUUGUUCUCGAGUUCUGGUUUAUACUUGACCUCAAAUUGAUAACCCAAUAGCUUAGCUAACCAACAUUGUUGAUCCAGUGAAGAGAUCCGUUGUUGUAAGAAAUGCUUCAAACUUUUGUGAUUUGUAUACACUACAAACGGUCUACCCAAUAGAUAAUGACGCUAAUGUUCUAUUGCAAGGACUAAAACCAUCAAUUCUUUUUCAUAUACUGGCUUAGCCAAAUUUCCAGUAGAUAAUGCUUUGCUGAAGUAAGAAAGGGGUCUCUUAUUUUGCAUCAAAACAACACCAAUACCUCUCCCCGCUGCAUCACAUUCAACUUCAAAAGGUAGUGUAAAAUCUGGCAGUCCUAGCACUGGAGAAGUCGUCAUCACUGUCUUUAAUGUCUGGGAAGCCUCCACAGUAGCCUCAUUCCAUACAAAACAGUUUUUCUUAGUCAAUUCAGUGAGGGGUUUGGCAAUUUUUCCAUAAUCUCGGAUGAACUUCCGAUAAUAACCUAAAAAACCUCGAACUCCCUUAACAUUUUUUGGCUCAGGCCAAUUCAAAACACAACUUACCUUACCCGGAUCCACUGCCACACCAUUUCCUGAUAUUACAUGGCCCAAGUAGUCCACAUACUUACAACCAAACUUGCAUUUUGCUGCAUUUGCCACAAAACAGUGUUGAUGUAACAAUUUUAACACUUGCCUUAAGUGAACAAUAUGCUCCUCCUCACUCUUGCUAUAAACUAAGAUGUCGUCAAAAAAUACCAAGACAAAGCUACGAAGGAAAGGCCGAAAGACAUCAUUCAUAGUGGCUUGGAAUGUUGCUAGAGCAUUCAUUAAACCGAAAGGCAUAACCAGGUAUUCAUAGUCCUCAUUAUGAGUCUUGAAAGCAGUCUUGUGAACAUCAGACUCAUGGACACGAAUCUGAUGAUAUCCGGAUCGGAGGUCAAUUUUGGAGAAUAUUCUUGCCCCAUACAGUUUGUCCAGCAACUCAUCGACGAUAGGAAUAGGGUAUUUAUCCGGAAUGGUUACCUUGUUUAAUGCCCUGUAGUCGACACACAUACGCCAAGAGCCAUCUUUCUUUUUGACAAGAAUCACGAGAGUGGAAAAUGCACUCGUGCUAGGACGAAUUACGCCUGCCUUCAAUAGUUCUCGGACUUGUUUCUCAAUGUCCUCUUUUUGAUGGUGAGGAUAUCGAUAUGGUCGAACAUUCACAGAACAGUGUUCAGCAACCAAUUUGAUUUGAUGAACUCUUUUUCUUUCGGGAGGUAAGGCAAUGUGUUCUCGAAAAACCGUUGAGAAUUUGCCUAAUAGUUUAGCCACUGCUGGACAUUCACCUUCUUCCUUCAUACUGUUUGUACCCUCACUCUGUAUACACCACCAAUCAUUUGUUUCCCUUCGGCCCUCGUCUUCAAGGAAUGAAUGUAAGAACCCAUGUUUACCAUGCCUCCCCCCUUGACUUCGCAAGUUCACCUUUUCCCCCUCAUACCAAAAUUGCAUAGUUAAUUUUUUCUAGUCCAAAAUUACCUUCCCCAAUGUACUCAGCCGUGACACACCUAACACUACAUCCAGACCUCCUAACUCCAAUACUAGAACAUCAAUUUCAAAUGUUUGUGGUCUUAGGUUAAUCCGCACCCCCUUACAAAUUCUCGUGGAGAGUACCUUGUGACUGUCCCCCAACUUGAUAUUCUUCGCUGUCAUUGGAGUGAUUGGAAGACUCAGGCUGUUGUAAUUGUUGGGGAGAUAAAGUUAUGGCUAGCCCCACUGUCAAUGACGACCAUGACUUCAAUUUCUUCCAAUUUGCCAACUAUUUUCAUAGUGCGAUGCUCCCCCAUUUCACCAAGAACCCCGAGUACUUUACACUCUGCCUCGCCAUCGUCAUCCUCCUCAGUGACACUAGUCUCAACCGCGAUGAUUUCUCCCUCAUCAUCACCAUCUUCUCCUUCUCCUAAAAUCAAUAACCGCAAGGAACAUUCAGGGCAUUUAUGUUGAGUUGGAUGGUAUUUUCCUCCACAUUUGAAGCAAAGUCCUUUCGCCCUUCUAUCCAUCACCUCUUCAUAAGACAAACUUUUGGUACAUUUCCAUCUCUCCAUCGCGUUACUUCGUCGUUCUGGUUCUCCUUUUCGUGCCGUAGAGAACAUCGGUGAUGUCGAAGAGUGAUUCGGGUUUGAUGAACCCAUUUUAGAUGAUGGGUUAUGACUUGGGUUGUUCCAACCUGAAUGUGGGAUUCGGUUCCUUUGGGCUUGGCCCAAACUACUGCGAUUUUAAACAUUGGACCCGUUCCAAUCACUACGGGCCCCUCUUUCCCACCCAUUUUUCUUUCCAUAAUACCUCUCCCCUUCACCAUCAUCUUCCUUUAAUUCAUCUUCGACAUCAUUUGCAUUCUGGUUUGAGGAUUCAAUGUCUGUAUUCUCCUCCGAAUAUAGGGUUUUAAAUCACUCAUGAAAUAUCCCAAGUACUGCUCUUCUGGUAGGCGCCCAACUUGCGACGACAAUAGUUCAAAAGCUUCUACGAAUUCCUCCACACUUCCUGUUUGAUGUAGGGUGGAUAGUUCCUCAAACGGAUUCUCUAACCGUCGGCCUCCAUAGUGAGCAAUUAGUGCCUUCUUUAAUUUCUCCCAUGACAAGGCAUCCUAUGUUUUGAGCAACAAAUUAAACCAAUGGAUCGUUGUUCCUUCCAUACUCACCCUUGCUAACUUCACAUGCAUAUCAUUGGGUGUGCUCUGGACGUCAAAAUAAAUCUCUGCGCGAGUGAUCCAUGCGACUGGGUCAUCUCCAUCAAACACUGGUAAUUUCACUUUUUUGCCUCAGAGUCGCGAUUCUCCACUUCACCAGUGGUCUGUUCAGUUUCAGCUUCUCGUUCCUUUUGUCCCAAUUAAUGACUCAGUUCUGCUAGCACCAGGCUUUGCGUUUGCAUUUGAGCAACCAAGGUAUGCAACGUUGUUUUGACUUCUUCCAUUUGCUCCUCCAAAAUUACAACCAUAUCUGCCAUUUUUGGUGACAUCUACUGUACUCCUCCCUGCUGUAGGUAAUUUAUCCGGCAGGUCAGACCAAUUGAUGGGUUUCAGAACUAGAAAGACUCAAAAGAAAUAAUAAACAGUAGUAGUAAGUUUGUAUUAAUAGAAAAAAUAGAGACAAUGUGUGCAGUAAAAUGAAAGAUAAUAUUGAUAGCCUAACUAUCGAUCCCUUUUCAAAGAAGAAUCUCUUUUCUCUUUCUAUAACAGAAUGCCCCCUUACUCCUCCUCCCUUUCCCUAAAUAGCAACUGACUAGUGACUACAAUUCUCCCUCUCUCCCUUUUCUUGCCAACUCAGUUUUCUUUCCACGUUUCCUCACAUAGACCUUCCACACUUUGGACUCCUCAUUGUUAACUUCAAGGCCCACUUCCCCUGCUGUGUCUUUAUCACUUGUGCUUGUAGUGCAUAUUUUUAUUUGAUGACCGAAGUCUUUUCACCAUAUUACAAUGAUAUUGCAAAAUCAUGUCUAAUUUAAGGGUGCCCAUGUGUUUUUAUGUGGAGUUAAUGGUAGUGUAAAAUUUUAUACAUAGUUAAUGUUUUAUCUAUUAUUUAUUUGUAUUAUUUUUAUUUAAGAGUCAAAUGAUGAUCAAAAAUAAAUAGUAGAUGAUACAAUAACAAUGUAAAAAACUAUUAUACUAUCAGUAUAUACAUUUUUCUCUCUUUUAUAUGUCAAAUUAGAAUAAGUUGUGAAAUUAGACAAAUUACGCAUCUUUUUUUAAAGAUACACAAAUCACUCUAAUUCUAUACAUAUAGUACACUUACUACUUAUAUAGGAGAAAUAAGUAUAGUAUCUUAAACAAAAAAUAACUAUGAUGAUAAUUAAAUUAAACAAAUAUAUUAUAUUAUGUAGACAAAUUCAAAUAAUAUAAAAGUCAGUAUCUAACUAAAAAUAUAUUUUUAGUUAGUUACAUGUAAAAUGCAUGGACAGCCAUGCAUGGCUUUGGUUCUGACUUGAAGAAUGGCAAAGAAAGGAGGAAGAAAAAGUGAACUUUAUCACGUAAGAGAGAACAAGAAAAAUGAAAAACUUCAAUCUAACUUUUCUUAUUGAUGAUUCUUCAAAAUAUAAAAGAAAAUGAUUCAGAUGUAAUAGUUGAAAAUCUACAUAACAAACUAAAAGAAUUCCCUUUUUAAAUAGGGAAACAAGCAAAACAAAAAUAACUACCUAAAAGCAAGAAACAAAACUAAUUGCAAUCCUUUAAAGUAUUCGUUUCGAAUUGAUCAUUUUCUUAUAUUAUAAACUGGAUCAAUCAUUUUAAGAAUGUAUUCAAAUCACUCUUAUAUUAUAUUGUAACUAAAACAAAAUAAUGAAUAAACAUUUUUUAUACUAUUUGGACUUAUUUCCGCAAAAAAAUUAAGUUUUGUCUUUCUCUUUAUUUCUCUCCAACAAUUAACUUACAAUAAUAAGCUUAUAAUUUUAUUUUAAUAUCUUAUACCUUUUAAAAAAGUAAAAUGAUAAGGCUGUUUAUCUUAUAAUAUAAAGUUAUAAGUUCAAAUAUAGAAAAAAAUAUUGCUAUGAUGGGAAGACAACAUACAUUUACUAAGACUAUAGUAGUUGAGAACAUGGUCAAUUAAACAUCUCUUCAUACAUUUUAGAGUAAAUUAUAUUGACAUCUCUUAAGUUUUAACGAAAUUAUAUGAAUCACUUCUCUUUUUUUUACACCUACAAAAAUAAGGGUGGAAACAAGUCUGGUCGCCUAUCGGGGGCUAUUACCUGACUUAUAAUAGGCCAGAUCAGACCAGGCUUUUUUCAUAAACAUGUCAGGUUCAGACUUUUUUGAUAUUUACUUUAACAAAUCAUGUUUUAGGUCAUCCGAAAGGCCUAUUAAACUUAAUAGAAUAACCUGUUUAAUUAUUUUAUAUAAUAUGCUCAUAUUAUACGAUUUUAACAUAUAUAAUAUUAUUAUAUAUAUAUAAUUUUAAUAUAAAAACAUAACUUAAUUGUUAGGGUUAGAAGAGUCUCAUUAAAAGUAUGAAUAUUAGUCUAUUUAAAUGUAGAGAUGAUGAUGUAUUUUAAUAUUAUAUAGUAUAACAGACUUUUAAACAGAUUAACAUGUCAUGCUAGACUUUUAAACAGGUCAUGUUUAGGCUUUGAAUUUUUUUAAACAGACUAACAGGUGAGGUCGAGACUCUUACAUGCUAUAUAGGUUGUGCUUGUUUAAGGCAAAGUCUGGUCUGGUCUGGCUUGUUUCCACCCUUAUACAGAAAACCCCUAAUUUAUAUAUACAUUACACUGGCUAUCACUACAGGAGAACAAAUGUAAUUUUUAAAUAAGAAGUGUGAUUGGUGUAACUAAGUUAAACAAAAUAUUAUAUAUUGUGGAGACAAAUCCAAAUAAUAUACGAGUCAAUAUCUCUUCACUAUUUUUGGUUCAUUACGAUAUAGUAUAAGAUCAUUGAUGCAAUAUCUUUUUAGAAUUUUUGAAGCAUUUUUUAACAAAAAAUAAUAAUGAAGAUACAUUAACUUCUAUAUUAUUUAGACUUAUCUCUACAUGUUUUGUUUAUCUUAAUUGCAUUUAUACAUUUUUUGUUUAAAAUAUUACACUUAUUUCUCAUACAGAGAUGAUGAGUGUAAUGAAAAUAUAUAAAUUAUGGGUGUUUAUAUAGAUGUAGAAAAAAUGAAGGAUAAUUUAUAUAAUUUUACUAAAACUUAUUGAGUGUUAUUGUAAUUUAUUCUGUAUUUUAAGAUUUUUGAUGUAUAAAUAAUAACUGAUAAGGGUGACGUCAAAGUUAAUUAUUAAUUAUUACAUUCAUUUCAUUCAUCCUUGUAAUAUGUAAAAUUUAAAUGAUGUCCUCUUUUUCGGUCGUCCUGUAGUGAAUAAAUAAAAACAAUAUUAAUAUUAAAUAUCACAUCAUGAUAGUAUUGUUACAAAAAGGAUAGGUAUACAGAUACACAUUGACUCAGAUUAGCAGCUGUAUGUAGCAAACAUCUAAGGACAUAGGACAUAAACACACACAAUACUUGCAAUUUCCAAUGCCAGAAACAUAAAUACAAGAACAAUGAAUUUAUGAUAUAUAUAUAUAUAUAUAUACACGAAAUCUGGAUAUGAAUUUUUGGGAAUGUUGUUAAAAUUUUACUUUGCAAAUAAUUUUAAUGUAAACAUUUCAACUAGGAAUAUGCAUUGUUAGCUCGCUUACGAUUGUAAAUCUGUGGAAUUAAAUUUCAACAACAUUAUAUCAUGAAUCAAUAGCAUAGCAUAUUUUCAUUAAAAAAAACUUCAACUUCAUUCAUAUGGAUGAGAAUGACAUAACAACUAUAUCAUAACCAAUGCAUUUCCCAGACAAGUUUAGACAACACAAAACCAAAAGUAAUAGGCAUCACAAAAUACAAACUACUGCAUGAUCAGCAUAAAUUACACACAACUUAAUUUUUCUACACCUUCCUUGCACUCCUAGAUGAUUCACCACUAUAGCUGUUACAUAGUUCAUGUACGUUUUGGCACAAACCUACGAGCCCAAACAUGUUUUCCAUUGAUGCUCAAUUUGGCCUUACUUGACCCUCCAAUAAUCAUGUUAAUAGUUGAUUUGUUGCGGAAAAUCAUUCGAGCAAACAAUGGUUGUUCAUUUGGUUGCACUUCCUGCAUGUACAAUGCCUCCACAGAAUCAUCAAACACCUUUGUAAAAAACUCUCUCACCUCUGAUUCUUCAACCGGGUACCCCUUAGAAAAGGUCAGAAACAAUGUCCUUUCAUCUGCUGGUACUAGUUCUAUAUUGAUGUUCUCUUGUGCUAGAUUAUGCACAUGAAUCUUAUGAUCAUGACUUGCACCACCCUGAACCAUGUUGCUGAAAGAGUGAAGAUUAGAUGGUGCAAUUGAGCCAAACCAUAAAGGUUUCUGUUGUUGUUGUUGUGGUGGUUUUGCACUUUGAUCUGACAUAUUUCUUUGAGAUUCAGCUUUUUUCUCAAUUGUGUUCCCAGUAAUAGCAUGUUGCAUUAUAUCAGAGAAUGCUCUAACNNNNNNNNNNNNNNNNNNNNNNNNNNNNNNNNNNNNNNNNNNNNNNNNNNNNNNNNNNNNNNNNNNNNNNNNNNNNNNNNNNNNNNNNNNNNNNNNNNNNUAAUCUUUGUUAUCAUACAAAGAUUGUGAAGAUAUCUCUUUGUCCACAAUGCUUUGUAGAAGAGAGAUAUCACAAGGUUCAGAAGUGAAGGGAAUGGAGUAAGAGAAGUAGCUAAAGUUGGUAGCAUUAAUGUAUUUGAGACAUGAGAGAGUUUCAUCUGCAACUUCAUUUAUCAAGGUGUAUGGAAGAGAGGUUAUUUUCUUUACCAAAUGACGAUAACCUAACCUCUCUAACCAUAGCCACAUAGCAAGAACUUGCAUGGACUCGGUUGGGUUACGAUAAAGGUUGAUCACAAGGAUCCAAUAGAGUUUUCUGUCCAUUUUGUGGAAGAGACAGAAAUCCUCAUGGGAGAUGGUGAUGAUAGUAGAAGGAGGUAGUGCAUGAUCCAUAAUAUGAAAGAGAACAAUAUAAUUUAUUGUCACUCAAGAGCUUUGGUCUUUAUAUAAAACUGCUUUGGACAACCAUCUAUAAAUACCAAGCGGCUAUGUAGAUAAGUUUUGAAGGAGAAAGAAUAGAAAAAAAGAUUUCAGAAUCAUGUCAUAAGUGUAUUUCAGGUUUUUAACAUUUAUCGAUCUUCUUUAUUACCUUUUAAAAACUAACUUACAAAUGAAUUCUUAGUUGCAAAUGAAGAAUUGAAAAUCAAUAAAGUGUUGGUCUGAUAUAAGGCCUCACUAGAUCUCUAAGGUGGUCAAAAGGUCAAAGGUUUCAAUCCUAAGAGCGACACUUGUUAGAAGGGUCAGUCACACACCAUAAAAGAGAUUAAUUCUUUAACCAAAAUGGGUAAAGAAUACUCUUACUAAUAUAAAAAAGGAAAUGAAAUGAUAUAACUAUAAAAUAUGUCAUCACAUUGUUUUUUUAUUGGUUUAUGAUACUUGAAUUCAAUAUAACUCUCAAAUAUUAGUUUCAGGACCCUAUGAUAAUUACCCAAGUAAGAUCAUUACUUAGAAUUAGUAUCUUCUCCAUUAAUGGAGAGGCAAGUGCAUCAAAAAAUAAAGAAAAUCACAAAUUUCAAUGACACAUUUAUCAUUCCAAUUAUAAUAAAAUUAUUACUAAAAACAAAAUAAAAUACAUAUAUUUGUUUCUCCGUUAAUAAAAAUAAUACUUAUUGCAUUACAGAUGGAUGUAGCGAGAAUAGUGUGAGGUUUAUAUAGCAGACAAAAGUGGUGUGGACCCUACAUCAGAAGUGAUCCUUUCGCAAUUUGUGAACAAAAUAGGGAAAAGGUGAGCUUUCCUAAAAUAUAUUUUUUUCUUACUUUUUAAUUCAACCAAACAAAAAAAGAUAAAUUAACACUUAUUUUUCUUCUUUUUUUCCUCGGAUAUCAAAUAAUCAUUGAAAUAACAAUGUUCUGGAUCCUUAAUAUUGAGUGUUCCAUUUAUGUGAGCAAUAUUUGUUCGAAAAAGUAGCAAUGAACCCUGAAAAUGAUUAACUCAUUAUCUAAAAAGAUAAGAAAAUACUUUUAGUAAUAACAAAAAAUAAUCAUUGAAAAUCACUAUUUUCUACUCACUUACUUUCUACCUAAAUUUAUCUUUCUAUAUCUCCUUCUAUUUUUCUAUCAAACCAAACAAUAUAGCAUUAUGAUGAAAUAAGAGAAACAGUAUAUGAUAAAAAGUAAAAAUAAAAUAUUGAUAUAAAAAUAGUAGAGAUAAUAGAGCUAUUAAAUACUUGAGUUGCAAAGUAAAAGAAGCAUUGAAGUUAGAAAUAAACUGAUAAUCAUGUCCUGUGUGUGAAACAAUUUUCUGACUUAGCACAACUAAUAUCAAAAGAGCCUAAAAGCAGCAAGAAAAUCUGCAUGGCACCAUUUAAUCCUUAGAAAAUAAACAUAAAUGGUGGUUGUCAGGAUCUAACUUCAAAACAAGAGUUACAUAUCAGUUUCCAUGGUUUUAAGGGCUUCCUGAAAGAACACAAAUUGUCUGACGUUAGUGCAUUGGUUAAGUAGUUUCUCUUCUUUUUCUCGCCCAUAGUAACCAACUAACCAUAGUUCUACAAAUUAGAGUAUCUUUCACACUAUCAAAUUUCGGGGCCCAACAACUCAAAACAAUUAUUGCCCUUGGAGCAAAAUUUUUGCAUUCAUAUCCAAUUGACUUUGCCAUACACUCGUAAAAAGUAAUUGAGAUUUUUUUACGGUUACACAAAUUUUCGAGUUGGAGCUAGGAGAGAGAAUGACUCGACCCUACUCGUUAUGGCGCUUUUGCUUCUGAGGAAUUUAAUAUGUUUUCUGAGGAGAGAGUCCUUGAAGCCGAAAGAUGUCAAAUGCAAUUAUUAUUUGGAGAUAUAUCUAAGGACGAGAAAACAAGUGAUGUCACAAAUAUAAAGGUUGUACCAAAACCACCACUACGGAAUAAAAGAAAGUCGGCUUAUAGUAGUUACUGCAGAGAGGAAGCUACAAGCAAGAUGCAGAAACAGGGCAGGCAGGCAUCAGAUCCUAUAAUAACCUUAUAAUUUCUCUCCGAUAAUUAACUUGCAAUAAUAACCUUAUAAUUUUUUUUAAUAUCUUAUACCUUUUAAAAAAGUAAAAUGAUAAGGUUGUUUAUCUUAUGAUAUAAAGUUAUAAGUUCAAAUAUAGAAAAAAAUAUUGUUAUGAUGGGAAGACAACAUACAUUUACUAAGACUAUAGUAGUUGAGAACAUGGUCAAUUAAACAUCUCUUCAUACAUUUUAGAGUAAAUUAUAUUGACAUCUCCUAAGUUUUAGCGAAAUUAUAUGAAUCAUUUUAUUUUUACACCUACAGAAAUAAGGGUGGAAACAAGUACGGUCGCCUAUCAGGGGGCUAUUACCUGACCUAUAAUAGGCCAGUCCAGACUAUGGAUGGCAACGGGCGCGGGCGGGCGUAGGGUAGUGCUUUCCCGUGCCCAAACCCGCAACAUUUGCGGGAACCCGUGCAGGUAGCGGGUAUUUACGGGUACCCAAUGAGUUUUUAAUUUUAAUUAUAUAUUUAUAUAAGUUGUAAUAAUCAAUAUGUAAAAAUAAUUGUUACAUGAAUAAUAUGAUAUUUACAUCAUAAGUUUAUUAUCAUAGUCGAAUAUGUGUAAUAUAUUAUGAAAUAAUAAUAAAGUAUAUGAUAUAUAAUCUAAAAUAAUAAUAAUAAUAAUAAUAAAUAUUAUAAAAAUUUAACUAAAAACUAAAUAUAUAAAUUUGCGGGUACCCGCAGGGCGGGUAUCACAAAACCCGCUCUCGCCCAUAAGCUAUUAUUGCAGGUACCCCUUGCGGGUAUUUUUACGGGUACCCAUAGGUCAGGUUUUUUUGCCAUCCCUAGACCAGACCAGGCUUUUUUCAUAAACAUGUCAGGCUCAGGCUUUUUGAAAAGUCUAUUUACUUUAACAAAUCAUGUUUUUGGUCAUCCAAAAGGCCUAUUAAACCUAAUAGACUAGUCUAUUUAAUUAUUUUAUAUAAUAUGCUCAUAUUAUACAAUUUUAACAUAUAUAAUAAUAUUAUUAUUAUUAUAUAUAUAUAUAUAUAUAAUUUUGAUAUAAAAAUAUAACUUAAUUGUUAGGAUUAGAAGAGUCUCAUUAAAAAUAUGAAUAUUAGUCUAUUUAAAUGUAGAAAUGAUGACCUAUUUAAAUAUUAUAUAGUAUAAUAGGUCUUUAAACAAAUUAACAUGUCAUGCUAGACUUUUAAAUAGGCUAACAGGUGAGGCCGAGACUCUUACAUGCUAUAUAGGUUGUGCUUGUAACAACCCGAUUCUUUUGUGAAAUAAAUAAAUAAAUAAAAAUGUUUUUAUAGAAUUUAUUUCUCAACAACUAUUUAUGACUAUGAAUUUCUUCCUUCAUAGAUUUUAUUUAUUGUGGAUACAUUUAAUAAAUAUGAGUUUCUAAUUAAAAACCAUGGCCCAAAUGACAUAACAAUAUAUUUUUAAGACUUCAACAAUUCAAGUUCAUUUUCUAUAAUUAUGUGAAUAAAUAAUUUUUUUUCCAAGAAUCAAUUGUCCUUAUUUUAAUGACUAAGUAUAUAUAUUUACUUAUCAAUACUUUUGUCAUUCUAAAGCAACCUAAUAAAAACACAUGUGAUAAUAUCCAUCAAAAUGUCAUGACUAAAAGUCAUAUAUAACAUGUUUUACAAACAACUACAUAAUAACUAUGAUCUAUCUAUGGGAAUGCAAUUUCUAGUUAGUUUUAGUUGCAUACAUACAAAUAACUUAUAGUUUUUCCAAGUAAAGUAAAACUUGUGUUCCUAGAGUAUCAGAAGUUAAUUUCAUCCUUACAACAGGGUACCCCAAUACAAAAAAACAUAACACAAAACAGAACAUAACACCUAAGGUAACCCAUUUUACCAGUCUUCCAAAAAUAUAAGUAUCCAACAUAUCAUUCCAAUCACACACCAACCCUAUAUUCCUAUGCUACUAACAGGAACCAGAUCCUCUACCAUUUCUUGGGGAGAAGUGUUGCUUGUUAUCUGUAUGAUCAUAAGAGAUAUACCAGUACACAAUAUACAAAAACAAAGAGAGAGUAAGUUAUCCUUUUAAGGCACAAUAUGUGGAAUUAUAUGGAAAUUAAGUAUCAUAACAUAAUAUAAAUAAUAUAUAUCAUAACAUGGACAAUCAUAACUCAACAUAAGCGAUUAUAACACAGUAUAAGCGACAUGACACAACAUAAACGAUUAUAGCACAACAUUAACAAUCAUAUUAUAAAAUAAACAUAUCACAUUUCUCAAACAUAAAACUCAAUCUCAUGAGUAUGGUGCAUAAACUAUGCAAUGUAUCACCAACUAGUCCAAUAUCAAAUGCAAUGCAUAUGAAUCCAUAUUCAACCUUUCACUUUUCAACUCAACUCCCAUUAUUUUUCAACUCAACUCCUUUUGGAAAGCAAUCGGGAGUACAAGACAUCCUGUANNNNNNNNNNNNNNNNNNNNNNNNNNNNNNNNNNNNNNNNNNNNNNNNNNNNNNNNNNNNNNNNNNNNNNNNNNNNNNNNNNNNNNNNNNNNNNNNNNNNAAUGAGAGAAAGGAAAAGAAAAACAAUGGAGGAAGAAGAUAAUGACUCACCACUUUUCUUCUUCUCCUCCUCCCCAAUGUUACGUUCUGGUUCCUCCCCAAAGAAAGGGACAAUCCCUUUUAUUUUUAUUUUUCUUAACUCUUUUUAAAUCAAUUGAAAUAUGCAUAUAUAAUUAUCAUAUAAGAAUAUUAAUAACAUAUUAUUAUAUUCUAUUUUAAUCAAUUACUAAAUACAUUUCUUAUUGUUAUUAUUCCAAAAAUUUAUAUUAGUCAUAAGGCAAUUUGGAUUGAUAAACCUAUAACAAAUCUUAUAAUUUAAAAGAAUCAAUCUAACUAUGCUACUAAUCCUAAAUAUAUUAUAUCAUACUCAUAUUCAAAAUCUCAUGUUCUAAAAAUAUAUGAAUAGAUUUAAAAAAGAAAACAUUACACUUUAGUACAAUGUUUUAAAUACACAUAUAUUCUCAAUUAUAUAAUAAAAAUCAAUUUAAUACACUAAGCAAAAAUCCUAAUUCAUAUUAGGAAAAAUAUAGGCGUUAUAGUGCUUGUUUAAGGCAAAGUCUGGUCUGGUCUGGCUUGUUUCCACCCUUAUACAGAAAACCCCUAAUUUAUAUACACAUUACACUGGCUAUCACUACCGGAUAAAAAAUGUAAUUUUUUAAAUAAAAAGGGCGAUGAGUGUAACUAAGUUAAACAAAAUAUGAUAUAUUAUGGAGACAAAUCCAAAUAAUAUACGAGUCAAUAUCUCUUCAUUAUUUUUGGUUCAUUACGAUAUAGUGUAAGAUCAUUUAUGCAAUAUCUCUUUAGAAUUCUUGAUACAUUUUUUAACAAAAAAAUAAUGAACAUACAUUAACUUCUAUAUUAUUUAGACUUAUUUCCACAAUAUAGCAUGUUUUGUUUAACUUAAUUGCAUUUAUCAUAUUUUUUGUUUAAAAUAUUACACUUAUUUCUCAUGUAGAGAUAAUGAGUGUAAUGAAGAUAUAUAAAUUAUGGAGUAUUUAUGUAGAUGUAGAAAAAAUAAAAGGUGAUUUAUAAUUUCACUAAAACUUAGUGGGUGUAAUUGUAAUUUACUCUAUAUUUUAAUAUUUUUGAUGUAUAAAUAAUAUUUGAUAUGGGUGACUUCAAAGUUAUUUAUUACAUUGAUCCUUGUAAUAUGUAAAAUUUAAAAUGAUGUCUUCUUUUUCUGUCCUGUAAAUAAAUAAAAACAAUCUUAAUAUUAAAUAUCACAUCAUGAUAGUAUUGUUACAAAAAGGAUAGGUAUACAGAUACACAUUGACUCAGAUUAGCAGCUGUAUGUAGCAAACAUCUAAGGACAUAAACACACACAAUAUUUGCAAUUUCCAAUGCCAGAAACAUAAAUACAAGAACAAUGAAUUUAUGAUAUACAAUAUAUAUAUAUAUAUAUGAAAUCUGGAUAUGAAUUUUUGGGAAUGUUGUUAAAAUUUUACUUUGCAAAUAAUUUUAAUGUAAACAUUUCAACUAGGAAUACGCAUUGUUAGCUCGCUUACGAUUGUAAAUCUGUGGAAUUAAAUUUCAACAACAUUAUAUCAUGAAUCAAUAGCAUAGCAUAUUUUCAUAAAAAAAAAAAACUUCAACUUCAUUCAUAUGGAUGAGAAUGACAUAACAACUAUAUCAUAACCAAUGCAUUUCCCAGACAAGUUUAGACAACACAAAACCAAAAGUAAUAGGCAUCACAAAAUACAAACUACUGCAUGAUCAGCAUAAAUUACACACAACUUAAUUUUUCUACACCUUCCUUGCACUCCUAGAUGAUUCACCACUAUAGCUGUUACAUAGUUCAUGUACGUUUUGGCACAAACCUACGAGCCCAAACAUGUUUUCCAUUGAUGCUCAAUUUGGCCUUACUUGACCCUCCAAUAAUCAUGUUAAUAGUUGAUUUGUUGCGGAAAAUCAUUCGAGCAAACAAUGGUUGUUCAUUUGGUUGCACUUCCUGCAUGUACAAUGCCUCCACAGAAUCAUCAAACACCUUUGUAAAAAACUCUCUCACCUCUGAUUCUUCAACCGGGUACCCCUUAGAAAAGGUCAGAAACAAUGUCCUCUCAUCUGCUGGUACUAGUUCUAUAUUGAUGUUCUCUUGUGCUAGAUUAUGCACAUGAAUCUGAUGAUCAUGACUUGCACCACCCUGAACCAUGUUGCUGAAAGAGUGAAGAUUAGAUGGUGCAAUUGAGCCAAACCAUAAAGGUUUCUGUUGUUGUUGUUGUGGUGGUUUUGCACUUUGAUCUGACAUAUUUCUUUGAGAUUCAGCUUUUUUCUCAAUUGUGUUCCCAGUAAUAGCAUGUUGCAUUAUAUCAGAGAAUGCUCUAACGCACACGCUAUUCAUUACUCCUGCCACCCCUUGAAGUACAUAAUCUUUGUUAUCAUACAAAGAUUGUGAAGAUAUCUCUUUGUCCACAAUGCUUUGUAGAAGAGAGAUAUCACAAGGUUCAGAAGUGAAGGGAAUGGAGUAAGAGAAGUAGCUAAAGUUGGUAGCAUUAAUGUAUUUGAGACAUGAGAGAGUUUCAUCUGCAACUUCAUUUAUCAAGGUGUAUGGAAGAGAGGUUAUUUUCUUUACCAAAUGACGAUAACCUAACCUCUCUAACCAUAGCCACAUAGCAAGAACUUGCAUGGACUCGGUUGGGUUACGAUAAAGGUUGAUCACAAGGAUCCAAUAGAGUUUUCUGUCCAUUUUGUGGAAGAGACAGAAAUCCUCAUGGGAGAUGGUGAUGAUAGUAGAAGGAGGUAGUGCAUGAUCCAUAAUAUGAAAGAGAACAAUAUAAUUUAUUGUCACUCAAGAGCUUUGGUCUUUAUAUAAAACUGCUUUGGACAACCAUCUAUAAAUACCAAGCGGCUAUGUAGAUAAGUUUUGAAGGAGAAAGAAUAGAAAAAAAAAGAUUUCAGAAUCAUGUCAUAAGUGUAUUUCAGGUUUUUAACAUUUAUCGAUCUUCUUUAUUACCUUUUAAAAACUAACUUACAAAUGAAUUCUUAGUUGCAAAUGAAGAAUUGAAAACCAAUAAAGUGUUGGUCCAGUGAUAUAAGGUCUCACUAGAUCUCUAGGGUGGUCAAAAUGUUAAAGGUUCGAAUCGUGAUAGCGACAUUUGUUAAAAAGGUCAAUCAGAUACCCUAAAAGAAAUUAAUUUUUUAACCAAAAUAGGUAAAGGAUACUCUUACUAAUAUCAAAAAGGAAAUGAAAUGAUAUAACUAUUAAAUAUGUCAUCACAUUGUUUUUUUAUUGGUUUAUGAUACUUGAAUUCAAUAUAACUCUCAAAUAUUAGUUUCAGGACCCUAUGAGAGUUACCAAGCUAAGAUCAUUACCGAGAGUUAGGAUCGUCUCUAUUAAUGGAGAAGCGAAUGUAUCAAAAAGCAAAGAAAACCACAAAUUUCAAUUACACAUUUACCCUUCUAAUUAUAAUAAAGUUACCAUUAAAAACGAAAAUACAUAUAUUUGUUUCUCCGCUAAUGAAGAUGAUACUUGGUUGCAUUACAGAUGGAUAUAGCGAGAAUAGUGUGAGGUUUAUAUAGCAGACAAAAGAGAUGUGGACCCUACAUCAGAAGUGAUCCUUUCGCAAUUUGUGAACAAAAUAGGGAAAAGGUGAGCUUUCCUAAAAUAUAUUUUUUCUUAUUUUUUUAAUUCAACCAAACAAAAAAAAGAUAAAUUAACACUUAUUUUUCUUCUUUUUUUCCUCGGAUAUCAAAUAAUCAUUGAAAUAACAAUGUUCUGGAUCCUUAAUAUUGAGUGUUCCAUUUAUGUGAGCAAUAUUUGUUCGAAAAAGUAGCAAUGAACCCUGAAAAUGAUUAACUCAUUAUCUAAAAAGAUAAGAAAAUACUUUUAGUAAUAACAAAAAAUAAUCAUUGAAAAUCACUAUUUUCUACUCACUUACUUUCUACCUAAAUUUAUCUUUCUAUAUCUCCUUCUAUUUUUCUAUCAAACCAAACAAUAUAGCAUUAUGAUGAAAUAAGAGAAACAGUAUAUGAUAAAAAUUAUUAAAAAAAAUAUUGAUAUAAAAAUAGUAGAGUUAAUAGAGCUAUUAAAUACUUGAGUUGCAAAGUAAAAGAAGCAUUGAAGUUAGAAAUAAACUGAUAAUCAUGUCCUGUGUGUGAAACAAUUUUCUGACUUAGCACAACUAAUAUCAAAAGAGCCUAAAAGCAGCAAGAAAAUCUGCAUGGCACCAUUUAAUCCUUAGAAAAUAAACAUAAAUGGUGGUUGUCAGGAUCUAACUUCAAAACAAGAGUUACAUAUCAGUUUCCAUGGUUUUAAGGGCUUCCUGAAAGAACACAAAUUGUCUGACGUUAGUGCAUUGGUUAAGUAGUUUCUCUUCUUUUUCUCGCCCAUAGUAACCAACUAACCAUAGUUCUACAAAUUAGAGUAUCUUUCACACUAUCAAAUUUCGGGGCCCAACAACUCAAAACAAUUAUUGCCCUUGGAGCAAAAUUUUUGCAUUCAUAUCCAAUUGACUUUGCCAUACACUCGUAAAAAGUAAUUGAGAUUUUUUUACGGUUACACAAAUUUUCGAGUUGGAGCUAGGAGAGAGAAUGACUCGACCCUACUCGUUAUGGCGCUUUUGCUUCUGAGGAAUUUAAUAUGUUUUCUGAGGAGAGAGUCCUUGAAGCCGAAAGAUGUCAAAUGCAAUUAUUAUUUGGAGAUAUAUCUAAGGACGAGAAAACAAGUGAUGGCACAAAUAUAAAGGUUGUACCAAAACCACCACUACGGAAUAAAAGAAAGUCGGCUUAUAGUAGUUACUGCAGAGAGGAAGCUACAAGCAAGAUGCAGAAACAGGGCAGGCAGGCAUCAGAUCCUAUAAUAACCUUAUAAUUUCUCUCCGAUAAUUAACUUGCAAUAAUAACCUUAUAAUUUUUUUUAAUAUCUUAUACCUUUUAAAAAAGUAAAAUGAUAAGGUUGUUUAUCUUAUGAUAUAAAGUUAUAAGUUCAAAUAUAGAAAAAAAUAUUGUUAUGAUGGGAAGACAACAUACAUUUACUAAGACUAUAGUAGUUGAGAACAUGGUCAAUUAAACAUCUCUUCAUACAUUUUAGAGUAAAUUAUAUUGACAUCUCCUAAGUUUUAGCGAAAUUAUAUGAAUCAUUUUAUUUUUACACCUACAGAAAUAAGGGUGGAAACAAGUACGGUCGCCUAUCAGGGGGCUAUUACCUGACCUAUAAUAGGCCAGUCCAGACUAUGGAUGGCAACGGGCGCGGGCGGGCGUAGGGUAGUGCUUUCCCGUGCCCAAACCCGCAAUAUUUGCGGGUACCCGUGCAGGUAGCGGGUAUUUACGGGUACCCAAUGAGUUUUUAAUUUUAAUUAUAUAUUUAUAUAAGUUGUAAUAAUCAAUAUGUAAAAAUAAUUGUUACAUGAAUAAUAUGAUAUUUACAUCAUAAGUUUAUUAUCAUAGUCGAAUAUGUGUAAUAUAUUAUGAAAUAAUAAUAAAGUAUAUGAUAUAUAAUCUAAAAUAAUAAUAAUAAUAAUAAUAAAUAUUAUAAAAAUUUAACUAAAAACUAAAUAUAUAAAUUUGCGGGUACCCGCAGGGCGGGUAUCACAAAACCCGCUCUCGCCCAUAAGCUAUUAUUGCAGGUACCCCUUGCGGGUAUUUUUACGGGUACCCAUAGGUCAGGUUUUUUUGCCAUCCCUAGACCAGACCAGGCUUUUUUCAUAAACAUGUCAGGCUCAGGCUUUUUGAAAAGUCUAUUUACUUUAACAAAUCAUGUUUUUGGUCAUCCAAAAGGCCUAUUAAACCUAAUAGACUAGUCUAUUUAAUUAUUUUAUAUAAUAUGCUCAUAUUAUACAAUUUUAACAUAUAUAAUAAUAUUAUUAUUAUUAUAUAUAUAUAUAUAUAUAAUUUUGAUAUAAAAAUAUAACUUAAUUGUUAGGAUUAGAAGAGUCUCAUUAAAAAUAUGAAUAUUAGUCUAUUUAAAUGUAGAAAUGAUGACCUAUUUAAAUAUUAUAUAGUAUAAUAGGUCUUUAAACAAAUUAACAUGUCAUGCUAGACUUUUCAAUAGGCUAACAGGUGAGGCCGAGACUCUUACAUGCUAUAUAGGUUGUGCUUGUAACAACCCGAUUCUUUUGUGAAAUAAAUAAAUAAAUAAAAAUGUUUUUAUAGAAUUUAUUUCUCAACAACUAUUUAUGACUAUGAAUUUCUUCCUUCAUAGAUUUUAUUUAUUGUGGAUACAUUUAAUAAAUAUGAGUUUCUAAUUAAAAACCAUGGCCCAAAUGACAUAACAAUAUAUUUUUAAGACUUCAACAAUUCAAGUUCAUUUUCUAUAAUUAUGUGAAUAAAUAAUUUUUUUUCCAAGAAUCAAUUGUCCUUAUUUUAAUGACUAAGUAUAUAUAUUUACUUAUCAAUACUUUUGUCAUUCUAAAGCAACCUAAUAAAAACACAUGUGAUAAUAUCCAUCAAAAUGUCAUGACUAAAAGUCAUAUAUAACAUGUUUUACAAACAACUACAUAAUAACUAUGAUCUAUCUAUGGGAAUGCAAUUUCUAGUUAGUUUUAGUUGCAUACAUACAAAUAACUUAUAGUUUUUCCAAGUAAAGUAAAACUUGUGUUCCUAGAGUAUCAGAAGUUAAUUUCAUCCUUACAACAGGGUACCCCAAUACAAAAAAACAUAACACAAAACAGAACAUAACACCUAAGGUAACCCAUUUUACCAGUCUUCCAAAAAUAUAAGUAUCCAACAUAUCAUUCCAAUCACACACCAACCCUAUAUUCCUAUGCUACUAACAGGAACCAGAUCCUCUACCAUUUCUUGGGGAGAAGUGUUGCUUGUUAUCUGUAUGAUCAUAAGAGAUAUACCAGUACACAAUAUACAAAAACAAAGAGAGAGUAAGUUAUCCUUUUAAGGCACAAUAUGUGGAAUUAUAUGGAAAUUAAGUAUCAUAACAUAAUAUAAAUAAUAUAUAUCAUAACAUGGACAAUCAUAACUCAACAUAAGCGAUUAUAACACAGUAUAAGCGACAUGACACAACAUAAACGAUUAUAGCACAACAUUAACAAUCAUAUUAUAAAAUAAACAUAUCACAUUUCUCAAACAUAAAACUCAAUCUCAUGAGUAUGGUGCAUAAACUAUGCAAUGUAUCACCAACUAGUCCAAUAUCAAAUGCAAUGCAUAUGAAUCCAUAUUCAACCUUUCACUUUUCAACUCAACUCCCAUUAUUUUUCAACUCAACUCCUUUUGGAAAGCAAUCGGGAGUACAAGACAUCCUGUANNNNNNNNNNNNNNNNNNNNNNNNNNNNNNNNNNNNNNNNNNNNNNNNNNNNNNNNNNNNNNNNNNNNNNNNNNNNNNNNNNNNNNNNNNNNNNNNNNNNAAAGAAAGAGAAUGAGAGAAAGGAAAAGAAAAACAAUGGAGGAAGAAGAUAAUGACUCACCACUUUUCUUCUUCUCCUCCUCCCCAAUGUUACGUUCUGGUUCCUCCCCAAAGAAAGGGACAAUCCCUUUUAUUUUUAUUUUUCUUAACUCUUUUUAAAUCAAUUGAAAUAUGCAUAUAUAAUUAUCAUAUAAGAAUAUUAAUAACAUAUUAUUAUAUUCUAUUUUAAUCAAUUACUAAAUACAUUUCUUAUUGUUAUUAUUCCAAAAAUUUAUAUUAGUCAUAAGGCAAUUUGGAUUGAUAAACCUAUAACAAAUCUUAUAAUUUAAAAGAAUCAAUCUAACUAUGCUACUAAUCCUAAAUAUAUUAUAUCAUACUCAUAUUCAAAAUCUCAUGUUCUAAAAAUAUAUGAAUAGAUUUAAAAAAGAAAACAUUACACUUUAGUACAAUGUUUUAAAUACACAUAUAUUCUCAAUUAUAUAAUAAAAAUCAAUUUAAUACACUAAGCAAAAAUCCUAAUUCAUAUUAGGAAAAAUAUAGGCGUUAUAGUGCUUGUUUAAGGCAAAGUCUGGUCUGGUCUGGCUUGUUUCCACCCUUAUACAGAAAACCCCUAAUUUAUAUACACAUUACACUGGCUAUCACUACCGGAUAAAAAAUGUAAUUUUUUAAAUAAAAAGGGCGAUGAGUGUAACUAAGUUAAACAAAAUAUGAUAUAUUAUGGAGACAAAUCCAAAUAAUAUACGAGUCAAUAUCUCUUCAUUAUUUUUGGUUCAUUACGAUAUAGUGUAAGAUCAUUUAUGCAAUAUCUCUUUAGAAUUCUUGAUACAUUUUUUAACAAAAAAAUAAUGAACAUACAUUAACUUCUAUAUUAUUUAGACUUAUUUCCACAAUAUAGCAUGUUUUGUUUAACUUAAUUGCAUUUAUCAUAUUUUUUGUUUAAAAUAUUACACUUAUUUCUCAUGUAGAGAUAAUGAGUGUAAUGAAGAUAUAUAAAUUAUGGAGUAUUUAUGUAGAUGUAGAAAAAAUAAAAGGUGAUUUAUAAUUUCACUAAAACUUAGUGGGUGUAAUUGUAAUUUACUCUAUAUUUUAAUAUUUUUGAUGUAUAAAUAAUAUUUGAUAUGGGUGACUUCAAAGUUAUUUAUUACAUUGAUCCUUGUAAUAUGUAAAAUUUAAAAUGAUGUCUUCUUUUUCUGUCCUGUAAAUAAAUAAAAACAAUCUUAAUAUUAAAUAUCACAUCAUGAUAGUAUUGUUACAAAAAGGAUAGGUAUACAGAUACACAUUGACUCAGAUUAGCAGCUGUAUGUAGCAAACAUCUAAGGACAUAAACACACACAAUAUUUGCAAUUUCCAAUGCCAGAAACAUAAAUACAAGAACAAUGAAUUUAUGAUAUACAAUAUAUAUAUAUAUAUAUGAAAUCUGGAUAUGAAUUUUUGGGAAUGUUGUUAAAAUUUUACUUUGCAAAUAAUUUUAAUGUAAACAUUUCAACUAGGAAUACGCAUUGUUAGCUCGCUUACGAUUGUAAAUCUGUGGAAUUAAAUUUCAACAACAUUAUAUCAUGAAUCAAUAGCAUAGCAUAUUUUCAUAAAAAAAAAAACUUCAACUUCAUUCAUAUGGAUGAGAAUGACAUAACAACUAUAUCAUAACCAAUGCAUUUCCCAGACAAGUUUAGACAACACAAAACCAAAAGUAAUAGGCAUCACAAAAUACAAACUACUGCAUGAUCAGCAUAAAUUACACACAACUUAAUUUUUCUACACCUUCCUUGCACUCCUAGAUGAUUCACCACUAUAGCUGUUACAUAGUUCAUGUACGUUUUGGCACAAACCUACGAGCCCAAACAUGUUUUCCAUUGAUGCUCAAUUUGGCCUUACUUGACCCUCCAAUAAUCAUGUUAAUAGUUGAUUUGUUGCGGAAAAUCAUUCGAGCAAACAAUGGUUGUUCAUUUGGUUGCACUUCCUGCAUGUACAAUGCCUCCACAGAAUCAUCAAACACCUUUGUAAAAAACUCUCUCACCUCUGAUUCUUCAACCGGGUACCCCUUAGAAAAGGUCAGAAACAAUGUCCUCUCAUCUGCUGGUACUAGUUCUAUAUUGAUGUUCUCUUGUGCUAGAUUAUGCACAUGAAUCUGAUGAUCAUGACUUGCACCACCCUGAACCAUGUUGCUGAAAGAGUGAAGAUUAGAUGGUGCAAUUGAGCCAAACCAUAAAGGUUUCUGUUGUUGUUGUGGUUUUGCACUUUGAUCUGACACAUUCCUUUGAGAUUCAGCUUUUUUCUCAAUUGUGUUCCCAGUAAUAGCAUGCUGCAUUAUAUCAGAGAAUGCUCUAACACACACGUUAUUCAUUACUCCUGCCACCCCUUGAAGUACGUAAUCUUUGUUAUCAUACAAAGAUUGUGAAGAUAUCUCUUUGUCCACAAUGCUUUGUAGAAGAGAGAUAUCACAAGGUUCAGAAGUGAAGGGAAUGGAGUAAGAGAAGUAGCUAAAGUUGGUAGCAUUAAUGUAUUUGAGACAUGAGAGAGUUUCAUCUGCAACUUCAUUUAUCAAGGUGUAUGGAAGAGAGGUUAUUUUCUUUACCAAAUGACGAUAACCUAACCUCUCUAACCAUAGCCACAUAGCAAGAACUUGCAUGGACUCGGUUGGGUUACGAUAAAGGUUGAUCACAAGGAUCCAAUAGAGUUUUCUGUCCAUUUUGUGGAAGAGACAGAAAUCCUCAUGGGAGAUGGUGAUGAUAGUAGAAGGAGGUAGUGCAUGAUCCAUAGUAUGAAAGAGAACAAUAUAAUAUAUUGUCACUCAAGAGCUUUGGUGUUUAUAUAAAACUGCUUUGACAACCAUAUAUAAAUACCAAGCGGCUAUCUAGAUAAGUUUUGAAGGAGAAAGAAUAGAAAAAAAAAGAUUUCAGAAUCAUGUCAUAAGUGUAUUUCAGGUUUUUAACAUUUAUCGAUCUUCUUUAUUACCUUUUAAAAACUAACGCACAAAUGAAUUCUUAGUUGCAAAUGAAGAAUUGAAAACCAAUAAAGUGUUGGUCCAGUGAUAUAAGGUCUCACUAGAUCUCUAGGGUGGUCAAAAUGUUAAAGGUUCGAAUCGUGAUAGCGACAUUUGUUAAAAAGGUCAAUCAGAUACCCUAAAAGAAAUUAAUUUUUUAACCAAAAUAGGUAAAGGAUACUCUUACUAAUAUCAAAAAGGAAAUGAAAUGAUAUAACUAUUAAAUAUGUCAUCACAUUGUUUUUUUAUUGGUUUAUGAUACUUGAAUUCAAUAUAACUCUCAAAUAUUAGUUUCAGGACCCUAUGAGAGUUACCAAGCUAAGAUCAUUACCGAGAGUUAGGAUCGUCUCUAUUAAUGGAGAAGCGAAUGUAUCAAAAAGCAAAGAAAACCACAAAUUUCAAUUACACAUUUACCCUUCUAAUUAUAAUAAAGUUACCAUUAAAAACGAAAAUACAUAUAUUUGUUUCUCCGCUAAUGAAGAUGAUACUUGGUUGCAUUACAGAUGGAUAUAGCGAGAAUAGUGUGAGGUUUAUAUAGCAGACAAAAGAGAUGUGGACCCUACAUCAGAAGUGAUCCUUUCGCAAUUUGUGAACAAAAUAGGGAAAAGGUGAGCUUUCCUAAAAUAUAUUUUUUCUUAUUUUUUUAAUUCAACCAAACAAAAAAAAGAUAAAUUAACACUUAUUUUUCUUCUUUUUUCCCUCCGGUAUCAAAUAAUCAUUGAACCAACAAAGCUUUGGAUCCUUAAUAUUGAAUAUUCGAUUUCUGUGAGCAAUAUUUAUUUGAUGAAGUAGCAAUAAACUCUAAAAAUGGUUAACUCAUUAUUCAAAAAAUAAGAAAAUACUUUAAUAAUAACAAAAAAUAAUCAUUGAAAAUUACUAUUUUCUACUCACUUACUUUCUACCUAAAUUUAUCUUUCUAUAUCUCCUUCUAUUUUUCGGUCAAACCAAACAAUAUAUUUAUGAUGAAAUAAGAGAAACAGUAUAUGAUAAAAAUUAUUAAAAAAAAUAUUGAUAUAAAAAUAGUAGAGUUAAUAGAGCUAUUAAAUACUUGAGUUGCAAAGUAAAAGAAGCAUUGAAGUUAGAAAUAAACUGAUAAUCAUGUCCUGUGUGUGAAACAAUUUUCUGACUUAGCACAACUAAUAUCAAAAGAGCCUAAAAGCUGCAAGAAAAUAUGCAUGGCACCAUUUAAUCCUUAGAAAAUAAACAUAAAUGGUGGUUUUCAGGAUCUAACUUCAAAACAAGAGUUACAUAUCAGUUUCCAUGGUUUUAAGGGCUUCCUGAAAGAACAAACUGUCUUACGUCAGUGCAUUGGUUAAGUAGUUUCUCUUCUUUUUCUCGCCCAUAGUAACCAACUAACCAUAGUUCUACAAAUUAGAGUAUCUUUCACACUAUCAAAUUUCGGGGCCCAACAACUCAAAACAAUUAUUGCCCUUGGAGCAAGAUUUUUGCAUUCAUAUCCAACUGAUUUUGCCAUACACUCGUAAAAAGUAAUUGAGUUUUUUUUACGUUUAAAGACAAGUUUUCGAGUUAGAGGUAUGAGUGAGGAUGACUCGACCCUACUCGCUAUUUGGUAUGGUUCGAUUAUGAUCGAGUCCGGAUAAGGUCGGGUCUUAUCAGGUAAGCCGAAUUAAGGUUCAAAAAUUAAACUCAGUUAAUAUUUAGGAUCGAUUAGGGGACAAGUAUGACUCGACCCGACCCGACCAAUGAUCAUUCACUCAUCAUAUUUGUGCAUCUCUGUUCAAUUGUGUACAAAAUAAUGAUACAUCUUUAGUCGAAGUAUUAUUGAUUCUCUAAUUUUUGCAUGAGAUAUACAAAACUAACAAUAUAUAUACAUAUAUCAUUUUACAUGUCAAACUACAUAUCUAUAAUAAUAAGUAAUAACGAGAAUACUUUUUUCUAAAUUAGGUAUGCAUUAUAUUUCAUCGGUCUAGUGUCUAGUCUGAUUCAAAAGCUAACCUGACCGUCAUCAUUUAGAGUCAAGUUACCUUCAAGUCUAGAAUGAGGUUCAGAUUCAAAAAAUGACUCGAUUAACAUUUAGGAUCGGACAAGGGAUAAACAUUUACCCAUCCCAACUUUGCACAUGCUCAAAAUAAUGUUUCAAAAUUAUUUGAGAAAUGUAUUUUAUUGUUCUGGAAAAUUUCUCUCAUCUUUAUUAUUCUUCAAAAAAUUAUGUUAGAAACAUACCCUAAAUAAUUUAGAGUACAAAAGAAUGAUCAAUAUUCUUUGUAGCUUCUUUACCAUUGUAGAGGAUUUAUGCAUUUGAAAAUUAAUUUUGACUACGAUAAUACAUUAAAAUUAUUAAAUAUGCUUUAUUUAAUUUUCAAACAUUUGAUAGAAGAUUGGACGACACCUAGUCUAUAUUCUAGAAAUAGUGCUGGUGGAGUGAGGACAAAUAUUAAAAAAAUGACAUAUUUAAUAUAUUGGAAACAUGUACUUAGUUUUAAAAAUAUAUUUAUCAUUUUCAAUUGCUUCUGCUCAAAUUUGUUAAUAAGUUUUGGCUCACUAUUUUAUUACAUAAAAAUCUUUUUCAAGACAUUAAAUCUUAAAGUGUGGGAUAAGAACUAUGAGUGAGUUUGAUUCGGUCUACCCACUCACUUGUUUGUCGGGUAUGUGACAAGCAUAAUCUGACUCCGCUCAUCCCACAGUCACUGAUUCAUCAUGUUUAUAUAUACGUUUAUUCUGUUAUGUACAAAAUAAUGUCAUCUCUUUGGUUGAAAGUAUCAUUGAUUCUCUAGUUUUUAUCGCAUAUACAUGAUUAACAAUAAAUAUACAUAUUAUUUCAUAUAAAAUUACAUAUUCAUCAUAAUAAGUAAUGUUGAGAAGAAUUUAUCUAAUAUAAGGUAUAUGUUAUAUUUAUUUGGAUAUAAGGUCGGGUUCAGAUUUAAAAGUUGACCCUGAUAACAUUCGAAGUCAAGUUAACUUUGGGUAUGAUCGAGUUCGAGUUCAAAAAAAUAAUUUGAUCAACAUUUAUGAUUGGAUAAAGGCGAUGCCUUACCAAUCUUACUUGACUUAUGUUCACCCUUAAUGUUCUUGUCUUCUUGAUGCUAAGGACUAAUUAGAUAGUGAUACAACUCAACAUUUUAUCUCACCAUGUCAUGAGGUAAUAUAAGUCUCAUCUUACCUAAUAUUAGAAUGAAUGAAAAAGCUUAAUAUUAUAUAUUGGACUCAUCUCUUUUUAUAAUGUGUACUAAUUAGAAACAUCUAAUUGGUAUGGAUUCAUAAGUGAGGACUUGUAAGUUGUAAUCAUUAUCUUCUUCUCUUCUAUUUUUUGAUUAUGGGUAGCCAAUACUGCACAAAAUAGGAGGUUUUACUUGUAUUUUCAUGGUCUUGAGGUGAGACGUGAUCGUAAUGAUGCUCUAUUUUUGUGAAAACAACACCAGAUAUAGAUUUAGUGUACUAUUUCUUAAACAUACUAAUAAGUUACCCGUGUAUAUGCACAAGAUGAUAUUUUUUGUUACAUGGUUAAAACUAUACAUGUUAUUUGUGCAUUCAUAUGGUUAAAAUUACAUAUUACUUGUGCAUAUUUACAUGGUUAAUAACAUACAUGUUACCCCGUGUUAGAAAUGUCAAUGGGUACCUGAAUUCGUUGUUACCCGCAAAAAAAUACAUGCAAACAGAUCGGGUAUGGGUUUUUGGAUCCGCACGUAAUUGAGACCCGAUAUUUUAAGAUCCGUUGUUGGGUGGGUUAGAGUCUGGACAAUGAGAUACACAAACUCACAGGUACUCGGAUCCGCUAUUUCUACCUAUAUAUAUAUAUUGUUAAUCCAUAAUAUUAUAUUGUUAAUUCAUAAAUGUGAUUGUUAGGUUGUUAAACAAUAAUGUUAUAAUGUUAAGUAGUGAUGUGAUGGUGAUGAUAGUAGAAGGAGGUAGUGCAUGAUCCAUAGUACGAAAGAGAACAAUAUAAUAUAUUGUCACUCAAGAGCUUUGGUGUUUAUAUAAAACUGCUUUGGACAACCAUCUAUAAAUACCAAGCGGCUAUCUAGAUAAGUUUUGAAGGAGAAAGAAUAGAAAAAAAAAAGAUUUCAGAAUCAAUUUAUAGGUUAUCAAUAAUUAGAUCGUUUAUUUUGUAACCCAAAAUAAAUAGUCAAUUUAAUAAUAUUAAAUAUAUGAUAAUCAUCUUAAUUAAAAAUUGUGAAUUUCUAGCGCAUGAUAGUACCAAGAGGAGAAAAUUAAAGAAAAAGUUGCAUAUAACAAGUGAGGAUAUGAAAUGAAUUUAUAUUAUUAUAUGGUUAAUAGAUAUAACAAGUGAGGAUAUGAAAUGAAUUUGUAUUAUUAUAUGGUUAAUAGAUAAAUUUGAAAGGAAUGUUAUACAUUCUAGUUAAAAUUGUAGUUGUCAGCAAAAUGAGAGUUACUAACAAUUUUCCAUUGGUUUCGAGGUCAGAGUAAAGGAGCAAAUUCCACCUUUCAUCCGUAUAUUCGUUAAGUAGUAUCUCUUCUUUUUCUCGCCCAUAGUAUCGAAUUAACCACCCAACAUCUCCAGAACUAUAUUGCCUUCUGGAGCAAGACUUUUGCAUUCAUAUCCAACUGAUUUUGGCCAUAUACUCGUAAAAAGAACGAUCAAGAAUUUUUAACUGCUAAAGAUUCGUAAUUUCAGUAUAUAACAACGUAAUUAUCAAUAUCUUUUUACAGCUUUUUUACAAUCAUAGAAGAUAUAUACAUUUUGAACUUUGUUUAAUUUCAUAGUGAUAAAAUUAAAAUCAGAUAUGGUUUAGCAUUUUUCAACCAUUUGGAUCCAAAUUGCAAGAGGUUGAAUAACACCUAAUAUGGCUUAUGUGGUCAUAGUUAUAGUCGACAUGACUCUGCAAAAUUAUGUUAUGGCUACAAUCUCAAAUGCGAUCUCUCCCACAAUAGUACCACAUUUUCAAAAUUGCAUAUUUAAAUAAGUGAAUUGGAUGAGUUUAGUAAAUUAACUUCUGAUAUAAUCAACAAAAAUUAAAAAUUGCAUGCUUCAUCUACAAUGAAUCUCCCAUACAAGAAUAUAUUAAAAGUAUAGUAUAGUUGGACAUAAAUACAUUAAAAAGCUAAAUAAACGGGUAUUGAUAUAAUGCAUGCAUUUGAAGAAAAAGGUACUUAGAAGAGAAAUUUGGUUCAAUUCUUAGCAAAUAAGCCUCCAAAACCGCCACCUUUCUUCUUUUGUGGCACUGCCACAGAGUUCUUCCGGCCACUGAUGGUGCCUCCUCCUCCUUUCUUUUCCUCCACCCCCUGAA
rnacentral:lncRNA from 1 species